AGGAGGCAGGUAGCUGGGUCCAGGGGCAGGCAGAAGGUCAUACACAGGAGGAGGCAGGUAGCUGGGUUCAGGGGCAGGAAGAAGGUCAUACACAGGAGGAGGCAGGUAGCUGGGUCCAGGGGCAGGCAGAAGGUCAUACACAGGAGGAGGCAGGUAGCUGGGUUCAGGGGCAGGAAGAAGGUCAUACACAGGAGGAGGCAGGUAGCUGGGUCCAGGGGCAGGCAGAAGGUCAUACACAGGAGGAGGCAGG